UCCCGGCUAGCUCAGUCGGUAGAGCGUCAGACUCUUAAUAGAGUCUCUUCGAAUGCGAAGAGUAAUCUGAAUGUCGUGGGUUCGAGCCCCACGUUGGGAGU
rnacentral:tRNA from 1 species